AUUGAACGCUGGCGGCAGGCCUAACACAUGCAAGUCGAACGGUAACAGGAAGAAGCUUGCUUCUUUGCUGACGAGUGGCGGACGGGUGAGUAAUGUCUGGGAAACUGCCUGAUGGAGGGGGAUAACUACUGGAAACGGUAGCUAAUACCGCAUAACGUCGCAAGACCAAAGAGGGGGACCUUCGGGCCUCUUGCCAUCGGAUGUGCCCAGAUGGGAUUAGCUAGUAGGUGGGGUAACGGCUCACCUAGGCGAUGAUCCCUAGCUGGUCUGAGAGGAUGACCAGCCACACUGGAACUGAGACACGGUCCAGACUCCUACGGGAGGCAGCAGUGGGGAAUAUUGCACAAUGGGCGCAAGCCUGAUGCAGCCAUGCCGCGUGUAUGAAGAAGGCCUUCGGGUUGUAAAGUACUUUCAGCGGGGAGGAAGGGAGUAAAGUUAAUACCUUUACUCAUUGACGUUACCCGCAGAAGAAGCACCGGCUAACUCCGUG
rnacentral:rRNA from 1 species